GUGAAUUCAUCUCCGGGGGUAGAGCACUGUUUCGGCAAGGGGGUCAUCCCGACUUACCAACCCGAUGCAAACUGCGAAUACCGGAGAAUGUUAUCACGGGAGACACACGGCGGGUGCUAACGUCCGUCGUGAAGAGGGAAACAACCCAGACCGCCAGCUAAGGUCCCAAAGUCAUGGUUAAGUGGGAAACGAUGUGGGAAGGCCCAGACAGCCAGGAUGUUGGCUUAGAAGCAGCCAUCAUUUAAAGAAAGCGUAAUAGCUCACUGGUCGAGUCGGCCUGCGCGGAAGAUGUAACGGGGCUAAACCAUGCACCGAAGCUGCGGCAGCGACGCUGAUGCGUUGUUGGGUAGGGGAGCGUUCUGUAAGCCUGUGAAGGUGUGCUGUGAGGCAUGCUGGAGGUAUCAGAAGUGCGAAUGCUGACAUAAGUAACGAUAAAGCGGGUGAAAAGCCCGCUCGCCGGAAGACCAAGGGUUCCUGUCCAACGUUAAUCGGGGCAGGGUGAGUCGACCCCUAAGGCGAGGCCGAAAGGCGUAGUCGAUGGGAAACAGGUUAAUAUUCCUGUACUUGGUGUUACUGCGAAGGGGGGACGGAGAAGGCUAUGUUGGCCGGGCGACGGUUGUCCCGGUUUAAGCGUGUAGGCUGGUUUUCCAGGCAAAUCCGGAAAAUCAAGGCUGAGGCGUGAUGACGAGGCACUACGGUGCUGAAGCAACAAAUGCCCUGCUUCCAGGAAAAGCCUCUAAGCAUCAGGUAACAUCAAAUCGUACCCCAAACCGACACAGGUGGUCAGGUAGAGAAUACCAAGGCGCUUGAGAGAACUCGGGUGAAGGAACUAGGCAAAAUGGUGCCGUAACUUCGGGAGAA
rnacentral:rRNA from 1 species